rnacentral:rRNA from 1 species
AUUGAACGCUGGCGGCAUGCUUUACACAUGCAAGUCGAACGGUAACAGGCCGCAAGGUGCUGACGAGUGGCGAACGGGUGAGUAAUACAUCGGAACGUGCCCAGUCGUGGGGGAUAACGCAGCGAAAGCUGUGCUAAUACCGCAUACGAUCUAUGGAUGAAAGCGGGGGACCGUAAGGCCUCGCGCGAUUGGAGCGGCCGAUGUCAGAUUAGGUAGUUGGUGGGGUAAAGGCGCACCAAGCCAACGAUCUGUAGCUGGUCUGAGAGGACGACCAGCCACACUGGGACGGAGACACGGCCCAGACUCCUACGGGAGGCAGCAGUGGGGAAUUUUGGACAAUGGGCGCAAGCCUGAUCCAGCAAUGCCGCGUGCAGGAAGAAGGCCUUCGGGUUGUAAACUGCUUUUGUACGGAACGAAACGGUCUGGGUUAAUACCCUGGGCUAAUGACGGUACCGUAAGAAUAAGCACCGGCUAACUACGUGCCAGCCGCCGCGGUAAUAC